rnacentral:rRNA from 1 species
UACGUAGGGACCAAGCGUUGUCCGGAUUUAUUGGGCGUAAAGAGCUCGUAGGCGGCCCUCCACGUCGGAUGUGAAAGCUCAGGGCUCAACCCUGAGAUGCCAUUCGAUACGGGAAGGCUAGAGGUAGGUAGGGGAAAGUGGAAUUCCUGGUGUAGCGGUGAAAUGCGCAGAUAUCAGGAGGAACACCAGUGGCGAAGGCGGUUACCUGGAGCUUUGCUGACGCUGAUGCGCGAAAGCGUGGGGAGCGAUCCGG